GACAUCGAUGUCUAGGGGUUCUGAGAGGAUUGUCCCCCACACUGGUACUGAGACACGGACCAGACUCCUACGGGAGGCAGCAGUGAGGAAUAUUGGUCAAUGGGCGAGAGCCUGAACCAGCCAUGCCGCGUGCAGGAUGAAGGUUCUAUGAAUCGUAAACUGCUUUUCUACAGGAAGAAACCUACCCUCGUGAGGGUAGCUGCCGGUACUGUAGGUAUAAGCACCGGCUAACUCCGUGCCAGCAGCCGCGGUAAUACGGAGGGUGCAAGCGUUAUCCGGAUUUAUUGGGUUUAAAGGGUGCGUAGGCGGAAUAUUAAGUCAGUGGUGAAAUCCUGCGGCUCAACCGUAGAACUGCCAUUGAUACUGAUAUUCUUGAAUGUAGUUGAGGUAGGCGGAAUGUGUAAUGUAGCGGUGAAAUGCUUAGAUAUUACACAGAACACCGAUUGCGAAGGCAGCUUACUAAACUAUGAUUGACGCUGAGGCACGAAAGCGUGGGGAGCGAACAGGAUUAGAUACCCUGGUAGUCCACGCUGUAAACGAUGAUCACUCGUUGUUUGCGAUAUAUUGUAAGCGACUGAGCGAAAGCAUUAAGUGAUCCACCUGGGGAGUACGUUCGCAAGAAUGAAACUCAAAGGAAUUGACGGGGGCCCGCACAAGCGGAGGAACAUGUGGUUUAAUUCGAUGAUACGCGAGGAACCUUACCUGGGUUUAAAUGUAGGUUGCAUGAACGGGAAACUGUUCUUUCUUUCGGGACUACCUACAAGGUGCUGCAUGGUUGUCGUCAGCUCGUGCCGUGAGGUGUCGGGUUAAGUCCCAUAACGAGCGCAACCCCUAUCGUUAGUUGCCAUCAGGUCAUGCUGGGGACUCUAACGAGACUGCCGGUGUAAACCGUGAGGAAGGUGGGGAUGACGUCAAAUCAGCACGGCCCUUAUAUCCAGGGCUACACACGUGUUACAAUGGUCGGUACAAAGGGCAGCUACCUGGUGACAGGAUGCUAAUCUCUAAAGCCGAUCACAGUUCGGAUCGAAGUCUGCAACUCGACUUCGUGAAGUUGGAUUCGCUAGUAAUCGCGCAUCAGCCACGGCGCGGUGAAUACGUUCCCGGGCCUUGUACACACCGCCCGUCAAGCCAUGGAAGCUGGGGGUGCCUGAAGUCUGUAACCGCAAGGAGCGGCCUAAGGUAAAACUAGUAACUGGGGCUAAGUCGUAACAAGGUA
rnacentral:rRNA from 1 species